rnacentral:rRNA from 1 species
UUCCCAUUCCGAACACAGAAGUUAAGCUCUCUAGCGCUGAUGGUACUUGGUGGGAAACUGCCUGGGAGAGUAGGACGUAGCCACGU